GGUGUGAGAGAAUUUCACAGGAAGCACCCUCCGGCAGGGCGUGGAGAGGGGCAGAACCAGAGGCCGGUCACGUGCUCUCCGCUCCCGCUGGAACCUCUUUCUACCCCCAGCAGGGCCUGCUGACAUCCUGGGUCUCCUGCCAGCUGCAGCUCAGAGGUCCAGAGCCAGCAUCAUGAAGUGGCUGCAUCUCCAGCUGCUGUUGCUCCUCGGCGGGGUGGUCCUCCCAGUGUCGGGAAAAUUGAAAGACAGAGUUCACUUUGAAAUUGAAUUUCUGGAUUACCGUAGUUUUAUCAAGGCCAAAAUUAAAAUCCUGUCCCAAGACCCCUACUACCACACAGUGUGGGACCCCCUGCAAGAUACACCUGGAGUGUCCUAUGGACCAUCUUUGCUGCGUGGCCGUCUGCGGAAAAGUCUGCAUGAAGGUUGAAGACAUGGAGAACGAGAAUCUGGGAUAGAAGAUCAGCAGCAUGGUUUAGGGCUGAACGUGAAGGGCGGAGCCUUAAACCACAGUGAGAACUGGAGGGAACCCGGGGAGUCUGGGAAGAGGACUGAGCGACCCACUGUGGGACCAUCUCCCUGCCCCAGUUGUGGGUGGGGAAAUGGGCCCAAGGGCCACGUGUCUCCGGUCUGCCAACACUUUUCCUGGAGCUGAUACUUCAGCAGUCUUCCGUCCUUUCCUCAUAAGUUGCUGUGUCACCUGGAACUUCUGUUUCUUUUUCUGUCCCCCAGACCUGCUCUCACUCCACCUUUUUUCCAGGCCCCCAGCCCUGCCUCCUGGUCUGGCUCUCCCUAUCUUCCCCCCUUUAGAGGCUUGGUCUUCUUAGCUGGGACUCCUGGACUGACUGUCCUCUGGGCACUGGCUAACACCCCUGGGAGUUCUGCCUGUGGGGAAGGCUCUUCAGUUCCUGGGGUUCUCCACCUCCCAUUGUCUCAGGCCUGGGAUUCCAGCAGACCUCCACAAGCUACUUCCCCUUUAACUAAUCCAUGGAGAUAAAAUCUUACCCAAUGGGUUACUAUUAUUUGUUCAGUCAUUUGGAGUUUUCAGGGUUUUUUUUUUUUUCAAAUAUAAGUGCUAUUAUAAUAAACAACCUCCUGAGGCCUAACACGUGCCACUUUGUGGCAAGAGCCACCUUACAGGAGUGGAGGGGUCCCCCCCAGGAAGGGUUAAGCCAUGUGAUCCAAACAGUGGAGACCAGGGAGUAGGUGACAAGAAGACCUGACCGAGUCCGCCUCAUGGUGGGAACAAACCCUGGCCACUCUGCCACUGUGACCUCUUUUAAAACGGACACUCCUUUUCCCUUUGCCUUCUCCUCCUGCCCUCACCAUGACGGGAGCAAGACCAACUUCUUCCCAUCCUAGGCCAAGUCCCUGUCCUUGCGCUCACACGCCCCAGGAACGAAGGGAUCCGACUUCAGGACUGAAGCCAGAAGACCUGGGGCCUGGCUGGCUCGCUCUCGAGGCUACAAGUGAAUGAUGACCCCUGACAGGGCACAUCUGGAAUGUCGCCUCCUGAGUCACCUCUUUAAAGUCACAGCCUCUGGGACCGGAGUCCCCUGCUUCUCCUCUGCUAGCAAAGCAAUAAAGCUUCUUUUCUCUUUUCCUUGAAACCUUGUCC
ensembl:lincRNA